GUUGUAUAGUUAAGUGAGAAAGCGUACAGGGCGGAUGCCUUGGCAAUCAGAGGCGAAGAAGGACGUGCUAAUCUGCGAAAAGCGUGGGUGAGUUGAUAAGAAGCGUUUAACCCACGAUGUCCGAAUGGGGAAACCCGAUAGGCGAAGAGCCUAUCAUUGCGAGGUGAAUAAAAUAGCCUCGUAAGGCGAACCGGGAGAACUGAAACAUCUAAGUACCCCGAGGAAAAGAAAUCAACCGAGAUUCUGUGAGUAGCGGCGAGCGAAAGCGGAGGAGCCAGUAAGUAAUAGCAGCAGAGAUAGAGGAAUUGUCUGGGAAGGCAAGCGACACAGGGUGAUAGCCCCGUACUUAAAAUCCAGGCUGUGGUACUAAGCUUACGAGAAGUAGGGCGGGACACGAGGAAUCCUGUCUGAAGAUGGGGGGACCAUCCUCCAAGGCUAAAUACUCCUGAUUGACCGAUAGUGAACCAGUACUGUGAAGGAAAGGCGAAAAGAACCCCGGUGAGGGGAGUGAAAUAGAACCUGAAACCCUGUACGUACAAGCAGUGGGAGCCCCAUCACUCAAACACAUUGAGUGUUGGAAGAGGCAAAAAGCACCAAAAAUAACACCGCACUUUAAAGUGUAGGGUACGACGAGCGAAGCGAGUCAAACCCAAAAAUAGCAGUGUGAUUGAGUGAUGGGGUGACUGCGUACCUUUUGUAUAAUGGGUCAGCGACUUAUAUUUUGUAGCGAGGUUAACUGAAUAAGGGAGCCGAAGGGAAACCGAGUCUUAACUGGGCGAAGAGUUGCAAGGUAUAGACCCGAAACCCGGUGAUCUAGCCAUGGGCAGGUUGAAGGUUGGGUAACACUAACUGGAGGACCGAACCGACUAAUGUUGAAAAAUUAGCGGAUGACCUGUGGCUGGGGGUGAAAGGCCAAUCAAACCGGGAGAUAGCUGGUUCUCCCCGAAAUCUAUUUAGGUAGAGCCUUGUGUGAAUACCUUUGGGGGUAGAGCACUGUUUCGGCUAGGGGCCCAUCCCGGGUUACCAAACCGAUGCAAACUCCGAAUACCAAAGAGUAAUGCACAGGAGACACACGGCGGGUGCUAACGUCCGUCGUGGAGAGGGAAACAACCCAGACCGCCAGCUAAGGUCCCAAAAUCUAUAUUAAGUGGGAAACGAAGUGGGAAGGCUUAGACAGCUAGGAUGUUGGCUUAGAAGCAGCCACCAUUUAAAGAAAGCGUAAUAGCUCACUAGUCGAGUCGGCCUGCGCGGAAGAUGUAACGGGGCUAAAAUAUAGUACCGAAGCUGCGGCAUCAGGCGUAUCACUAAUACGCCUUAACGAUUAACCACUUGCGAAGCAAGUGGGUAAAGCGAAAAACACGUUGAGUGUAAUGGCAAAGAAUCGAAGAGGGAUAUUAGUGAUACGUCUGUUGGGUAGGGGAGCGUUGUGUAAGCGGAAGAAGGUGAUUUGAGAAGAUUGCUGGACGUAUCACAAGUGCGAAUGCUGACAUAAGUAACGAUAAAACGGGUGAAAAACCCGUUCGCCGGAAGACCAAGGGUUCCUGUCCAACGUUAAUCGGGGCAGGGUGAGUCGGCCCCUAAGGCGAGGCUGAAAAGCGUAGUCGAUGGGAAACGGGUUAAUAUUCCCGUACUUGGUAAAGCUGCGAUGUGGGGACGGAGAAGGUUAGGUUAUCGACCUGUUGGAUAUGGUCGUUUAAGUUGGUAGGUGGGUGAGUUAGGUAAAUCCGGCUCACCGUUAACACUGAGAGAUGAUGACGAGGCACUAAGGUGCUGAAGUAACUGAUACCACACUUCCAGGAAAAGCCACUAAGCUUCAGGCUUUACUAAACCGUACUGAAAACCGACACAGGUGGUCAGGUAGAGAAUACUCAGGCGCUUGAGAGAACUCGGGUGAAGGAACUAGGCAAAAUAGCACCGUAACUUCGGGAGAAGGUGCGCCGGCGUAGAUUGUAGUGACUUGCUCACGAAGGUUGAACCGGUCGAAGAUACCAGCUGGCUGCAACUGUUUAUUAAAAACACAGCACUCUGCAAACACGAAAGUGGACGUAUAGGGUGUGAUGCCUGCCCGGUGCUGGAAGGUUAAUUGAUGGUGUAAUCGAAAGAGAAGCUCCUGAUCGAAGCCCCAGUAAACGGCGGCCGUAACUAUAACGGUCCUAAGGUAGCGAAAUUCCUUGUCGGGUAAGUUCCGACCUGCACGAAUGGCAUAAUGAUGGCCAGGCUGUCUCCACCCGAGACUCAGUGAAAUUGAAAUCGCCGUGAAGAUGCGGUGUACCCGCGGCUAGACGGAAAGACCCCGUGAACCUUUACUAUAGCUUGACACUGAACCUUGAAUUUUGAUGUGUAGGAUAGGUGGGAGACUAUGAAGCGGUAACGCCAGUUAUCGUGGAGUCGUUGUUGAAAUACCACCCUUUAACGUUUGAUGUUCUAACGAAGUGCCUGAAACGGGUACUCGGACAGUGUCUGGUGGGUAGUUUGACUGGGGCGGUCUCCUCCCAAAGUGUAACGGAGGAGCACGAAGGUUUGCUAAUGACGGUCGGACAUCGUCAGGUUAGUGCAAUGGUAUAAGCAAGCUUAACUGCGAGACAGACAAGUCGAGCAGGUGCGAAAGCAGGUCAUAGUGAUCCGGUGGUUCUGAAUGGAAGGGCCAUCGCUCAACGGAUAAAAGGUACUCCGGGGAUAACAGGCUGAUACCGCCCAAGAGUUCAUAUCGACGGCGGUGUUUGGCACCUCGAUGUCGGCUCAUCACAUCCUGGGGCUGAAGUAGGUCCCAAGGGUAUGGCUGUUCGCCAUUUAAAGUGGUACGCGAGCUGGGUUUAGAACGUCGUGAGACAGUUCGGUCCCUAUCUGCCGUGGGCGUUGGAGAAUUGAGAGGGGCUGCUCCUAGUACGAGAGGACCGGAGUGGACGCAUCACUGGUGUACCAGUUGUCUCGCCAGAGGCAUUGCUGGGUAGCUAAAUGCGGAAGAGAUAAGUGCUGAAAGCAUCUAAGCACGAAACUUGCCUUGAGAUGAGUUCUCCCAGUCUAUAAGACUGUAAGGGUUGUUGGAGACUACGACGUAGAUAGGCUGGGUGUGUAAGCGGUGUGAGCCGUUGAGCUAACCAGUACUAAUUGCCCGAGAGGCUUAACUAUACAACGCUCAAGGGUUUUG
rnacentral:rRNA from 1 species